CUACGGGGCGCUCCAGUGAGGAAUAUUGGUCAAUGGGCGAGAGCCUGAACCAGCCAAGUCGCGUGAAGGAAGAAGGAUCUAUGGUUCGUAAACUUCUUUUGCAGGGGAAUAAAGUGCAGGACGUGUCCUGUUUUGUAUGUACCCUGAGAAUAAGGAUCGGCUAACUCCGUGCCAGCGAGCCGCGGUAAUACGGAGGAUCCGAGCGUUAUCCGGAUUUAUUGGGUUUAAAGGGUGCGUAGGUGGUUUAAUAAGUCAGCGGUGAAAGUUUGCAGCUUAACUGUAAAAAUGCCGUUGAAACUGUUAGACUUGAGUGUAAAUGAGGUAGGCGGAAUGCGUGGUGUAGCGGUGAAAUGCUUAGAUAUCACGCAGAACUCCGAUUGCGAAGGCAGCUUACCAAGCUACAACUGACACUGAAGCACGAAAGCGUGGGGAUCAAACAGGAUUAGAUACCCUAGUAGUC
rnacentral:rRNA from 1 species